rnacentral:rRNA from 1 species
AAAACAUGUCUUUUUGAGUUAUUUUUAAAGUCUGACCUGCCCACUGAAAUUUUAAAUGGCCGCAGUAUUCUAACUGUGCAAAGGUAGCAUAAUCAUUAGUCUUUUAAUUGAAGGCUGGUAUGAACGGUUGGACGAGGUAUAAGCUGUUUCAUAUAAAUUUAUAAUAGAAUUUUAUAUUUUAGUCAAAAAGCUAAAAUUUUGUUAAAAGACGAGAAGACCCUAUAAAUCUUUAUAUUUUAUUAUAUCUAAAUUUUUUGGAUUAAGUUUAUUUUUAUAUGGUAAAAUAUUUUGUUGGGGUGAUGUUAAAAUUUAAUGAACUUUUAAUUUUUAAAAAUCAUUAAUUUAUGAUUUAUUGAUCCAUUAAUAGUGAUUAUAAGAUUAAGUUACUUUAGGGAUAACAGCGUAAUUUUUUUGGAGAGUUCAUAUCGAUAAAAAAGUUUGCGACCUCGAUGUUGGAUUAAGAUAUAAUUUUAGGUGUAGCCG